GAUGAACGCUAGCGGCAGGCCUAAUACAUGCAAGUCGUACGGCAACACAGUUGCGAGCAAUCGCAACCGGUGGCGAGUGGCGCACGGGUGAGUAACGCGUAUGUAACCUACCCUUCUCCGGGACAUAACUCCGCGAAAGCGGUGCUAAUAUCCCAUACCAACUCUAUCAAGACAUCUUCUUGAGUUGAAAGCAGCAAUGCGGUGAAGGAUGGGCAUGCGUCCCAUUAGCUGGUUGGUGAGGUAAUGGCCCACCAAGGCUACGAUGGGUAGGGGUUCUGAGAGGAAAGCCCCCCACACUGGUACUGAGACGCGGACCAGACUCCUACGGGAGGCAGCAGUAAGGAAUAUUGGGCAAUGGUCGAAAGACUGACCCAGCCAUGCCGCGUGCAGGAUGAAGGCCCUAUGGGUUGUAAACUGCUUUUAGCCGGGAAUAAACACCCGUUUUAUAACGGGCCCGAAGGUACCGGCUGAAUAAGCAUCGGCUAACUCCGUG
rnacentral:rRNA from 1 species